rnacentral:rRNA from 1 species
AAUGAACGCUGGCGGCGCGCCUAAUACAUGCAAGUCGAGCGAGAAGACGUAGCAAUACGUUUGUAAAGCGGCGAACGGGUGAGGAAUACAUGGGUAACCUACCCUCGAGUGGGGAAUAACUAGCCGAAAGGUUAGCUAAUACCGCGUACGCUUCUUGGACUUCGGUUCAGGGAGGAAAGCGAUGCCGAGGGUAUCGCGCUCUUGGAUGGGCUCAUGUCCUAUCAGCUUGUUGGGAGGUAACGGCUCACCAAGGCUUCGACGGGUAGCUGGUCUGAGAGGACGAUCAGCCACACUGGCACUGCGACACGGGCCAGACUCCUACGGGAGCAGCAGUAAGGAAUAUUGCGCAAUGGGCGAAAGCCUGACGCAGCGACGCCGCGUGGGGGAUGAAGGUCUUCGGAUUGUAAACCCCUUUCGGGAGGGAAGAUGGAAUGGGGUAACCCGAUUCGGACGGUACCUCCAGAAGCAGCCACGGCUAACUUCGUGCCAGCCGCCGCGGUAAU